UGGGCUAUAGCCAAGCGGUAAGGCAACGGACUUUGACUCCGUCACUCCGUUGGUUCGAAUCCAGCUAGCCCAGCCA
rnacentral:tRNA from 1 species